CCAUUGGUCCUUGAGGGAAAACUCUGAGAAGACUAAACACUGGCCAGGGUAGGGGUGGGGGCCCUCCAAGGGCUCUUGCACUGUGGUAGAGGUGGGGGCCCCUUCAACGGAUCUUGCACUGUGCAGCUUGACUAGCCCCCGAGAUGCAGGGGCACUGGCCAACACCUCUCCUUCCACUCCCAUCCCCUGGUACAUCAACAAGCCUCUGAAGGGCAGGAAGAGAGCAUGGGGAGAUGGUGGGAAGAGUCUGAGCCUCUGCCUCUCACCUCCCAUUUGUCUCAUCCCACCUGCUUCCAGAAGCCUGUCUGAACAGCUGACUCCACCCUGAGUCACACCUUCUCAGACAGAGGCACCCCAUUCUGUGGCUUUGUCCCCAAAGACUCCUUAAGCCUCUCUAACAUGCGUUGAGGAAAUUCAGAACCUA